rnacentral:rRNA from 1 species
GGUUGAUUCUGGCUCAGAUUGAACGCUGGCGGGAUGCUUUACACAUGCAAGUCGAACGGCAGCACGACUUCGGUCUGGUGGCGAGUGGCGAACGGGUGAGUAAUGUAUCGAACGUGCCUAGUAGCGGGGGAUAACUUUCAGCGUGAAAGCGUAGCCAAUACCAUACUGCCCUUCGGGGGAAAGCGGGGGACCUUCGGGCCUCGCACCAUUAGAGCGGCCGAUAUCGGAUUAGCUAGUUGGUGUAACGGCUUCUCUCACCGCGCGACGAUCCGUGGCCGGUUUGAGAGGACGACCAGCCACACUGGGACCGAGACACGGCCCAGACUCCUACGGGAGGCAGCAGUGGGGAAUUUUGACAAUGGGGAAACCCUUGAUCCAGCCAUCCUGCGUGUGCGAUGAAGGCCCCCGCUGUGUGCCACCGCAGGAAAGAAACGGUAUCGAUACCCAGUAACUGACGGUACCUGCAGAAUAAGCACCGGCUAACUACGUGCCAGCAGCCGCGGUAAUACGUAGGUGCAAGCGUUAAUCGGAAUUACUGGGCGUAAAGCGUGCGCAGGCGGUUCGGAAAGAAAGAUGUGAAAUCCCAGAGCUUAACUUUGGAACUGCAUUUUUUAACUACCGAGCUAGAGUGUGUCAGAGGGAGGUGGAAUUCUGCGUGGGGUAGUGAAAUGCGUAGAUAUGCGGAGGAACACCGAUGGCGAAGGCAGCCUCUGGGACACGACUGAUGCGCUCAUGCACGAAAGCGGGGAGCAAAACAGGAUUAGAUACUCCUGGUAGUCCACGCCCUAAACGAUGUCAACUAGCUGUUGGGGCCUGGGCCUUGGUAGCAGCCAACGCGGUGAAGUUGACCGCCUGGGGAAUACGGUCGCAAGAUUAAACUCAAAGGAAUUGACGGGGACCCGCACAAGCGGUGGAUGAUGUGGAUUAAUUCGAUGCAACGCGAAAACCUACCUACCCUUGACAUGUCUGGAAUCCCGAAGAGAUUUGGGAGUGCUCGCAAGAGAACUGAACACAGGUGCUGUAUGGCUGUCGUCAGUCUGUGUCGUGAGAUGUUGGGUUAAGUCCCGCAACGAGCGCAACCCUUGUCAUUAGUUGCUGCUGAAAGGGCAAUUUAAUGAGACUGCCGGUGACAAACCGGAGGAAGGUGGGGAUGACGUCAAGUCCUCAUGGCCCUUGCGGGUAGGGGCUUCACGUCAUACAAUGGUCGGGACAGAGGGUCGCCAACCUGAAGGAGAGGAGCCAUCCUGUGAAACCCGGAUCGUAGUCCGGAUCGCAGUUCGCAACUCGACUGCGUGAAGUCGGAAUCGCUAGUAAUCGCGGAUCAGCAUGUCGCGGUGAAUACGUUCCCGGGUCUGUACACACCGCCCGUCACACCAUGGGAGUGGGUUUUACCAGAAGUAGUUAGCCUAACCGUAAGUGAGGGCGAUUACUACGGUAGGAUUCAUGAUUGGGGUGAAGCGUAACAUGCAG